CCAAAGGCUCUUUUAAGAGCCACUUAAAAUACCUGAAAGGUUAUU
rfam:Erinaceus europaeus unplaced genomic scaffold scaffold00286, whole genome shotgun sequence